CACAUGCCCGAUACUGCCGCUUCUCUGUACUGCCGCCAUCACUGCAGCAAACUACCUCUCGCAGCACAAACCAGUGAUACCAGUGAACCGGACUCUUACUCACCUAAGUCUGCCUCAGGGAUGGGGAUUCAAUUGCUUCUAAUAUAUCAGGACAAGUGAUUUGACGCUAUGGGGCCGAUUUAACAAGCAGCGGAUGCGCUUCCGACCCUGAUCGUUUCUGGUCCACCAGAAACAGAAAGACACGUUCCAAUCCAUUGGAAAGCUUGAGCUGCCAUGCAAACCCAGAUUACAAGUGGAGCGGAAUCGAUAAUGCAGGAUGGUAUUACAAGGAGAAUAGAGCACAGAUUACAAGUCGAGUGCAAUCAAUAAUGCAGGAUGGUAUUACAAGAAGAAUAGCGCACAGAUUACAAGUGGAGCGCAAUCAAUAACACAGGGUUGUAAUUACAAGAAGAAUGGCACAUCGAUUACAAGUGGAGCUCAACUGAUAGCGCAAGGUGGUAUUACAAGGAGAAUAGCGCAGAGAUUACAAGUAGAGCGCAAUCAAUAGCGCAGGGUGGUAUUACAAGGAGAAUAGCGCACAGAUUACAAGUGGAGCACAAUCAAUAACACAGGGUGGUAUUUCAAGGAGAAUAGCAAACAGAUUACAAGUGGAGCACAAUCAAUAAUGCAAGGUGGUAUUACAAGGAUAAUAGCUCACAGAUUACAAAUGGAGAGCAAUCUAAAACACAGGGUGGUAGUACAAGGAGAAUAGCUCACAGAUUACAAGUGCAGCCCAAUCGAUAACGCAGGGUGGUAUUACAAGGAGAAUUGAGCACAGAUUACAAGUGGAGUGCAAUCAAUAACACAGGGUUGUUUUACAAGGAGAACAGCACACAGAUUACAAUUGGAGCUCAAUUGAUAGCGCAGGGUGGUAUUACAAGGAGAAUAGGGCACAGAUUACAAGUGGAGUGCAAUCAAUAACACAGGGUGGUUUUGCAAGGAGAACAGCACACAGAUUACAAGUGGAGCUCAAUUGAAAGCGCAGGGUGGUACUACAAGGAGAAUAGCGCACAGAUUGCAAGUGGAGUGCAAACAAUAACACAGGGUUGUUUUACAAGGAGAACAGCACCCAGAUUACAAGUGGAGCUCAAUUGAUAGCGCAGGGUGGUAUUACAAGGAGAAUAGUGCACAUAUUACAAGUGGAGCGCAAUUAAUAAUGCAGGGUGGUAUUACAAGGGGAAUAGCACACAGAUUACAAGUGGAGUGCAACUAAUAGCGCAGAGUGGUAUUACAAGGAGAAUUGUGCAUUAUCUGAUAUUAAAAGUGAAUGAAAAAAAAGAUUUGCUAGA